rnacentral:lncRNA from 1 species
GCUUGCGAUGGAUCCAAAAAAGAAGAAGGAUAUAUUGGACGAUCUGAUUACGUUCAGCAAGUCUAAAGACUACUACAAGGAGCGGCAUCCGGAUUCGGAUUUGGACACCGCCACCUCAAGGUCAUGACCAUUUUCGGGUUGCUCUCCUUAGGGAUGAAAACGAGUCUAGGCAGGGUCGAGUAACUAACGGAAAAGGGACAUGGUUGGUUUGUAUCAUGGCCACAGCCAAGAAAUUUUCUAGGCAGGGUCGAGUGACUAACGGAAAAGGCGGUGUAUCUGAAAACUUUGUAAUCAUCGAUUUUUCUGAUAUUUAAAUGAGUAAAACCAAUGAUGAUUAUAAAAAGUUGAUUGUAACUGGAUUA